GUGUCAGCCGCCGCGGUAAUACAGAGGGUGCGAGCGUUAAUCGGAAUUACUGGGCGUAAAGGGCGCGUAGGUGGUUUAUUAAGAUUGAUGUGAAAGCCCUGGGCUUAACCUAGGAACGGCAUCGAUGACUGAUAGACUGGAGUACUGUAGAGGGUAGUGGAAUUUCCGGUGUAGCGGUGAAAUGCGUAGAGAUCGGAAGGAACACCGGUGGCGAAGGCGGCUACCUGGACAGUGACUGACACUGAGGCGCGAGAGCGUGGGGAGCAAACAGGAUUAGAUACCCUGGUAGUCC
rnacentral:rRNA from 1 species